GAUGAACGCUGACAGAAUGCUUAACACAUGCAAGUCAACUUGAACUUCGGUUUGUGUGGCGGACGGGUGAGUAACGCGUAAAGAACUUGCCUCACAGCUAGGGACAACAUUUGGAAACGAAUGCUAAUACCUGAUAUUAUGAUUAUAUGGCAUCGUAUAAUUAUGAAAGCUAUAUGCGCUGUGAGAGAGCUUUGCGUCCCAUUAGCUAGUUGGAGAGGUAACAGCUCACCAAGGCGAUGAUGGGUAGCCGGCCUGAGAGGGUGAUCGGCCACAAGGGGACUGAGACACGGCCCUCACUCCUAGGGGAGGCAGCAGUGGGGAAUAUUGGACAAUGGACCGAGAGUCUGAUCCAGCAAUUCUGUGUGCACGAUGAAGUUUUUCGGAAUGUAAAGUGCUUUCAGUUGGGAAGAAAAAAAUGACGGUACCAACAGAAGAAGGGACGGCUAAAUACGU
rnacentral:rRNA from 1 species